rnacentral:rRNA from 1 species
AUUGAACGCUGGCGGCAGGCCUAACACAUGCAAGUCGAACGGUAACAGGAAGAAGCUUGCUUCUUUGCUGACGAGUGGCGGACGGGUGAGUAAUGUCUGGGAAACUGCCUGAUGGAGGGGGAUAACUACUGGAAACGGUAGCUACUACCGCAUAACGUCGCAAGACCAAAGAGGGGGACCUUCGGGCCUCUUGCCAUCGGAUGUGCCCAGAUGGGAUUAGCUAGUAGGUGGGGUAACGGCUCACCUAGGCGACGAUCCCUAGCUGGUCUGAGAGGAUGACCAGCCACACUGGAACUGAGACACGGUCCAGACUCCUACGGGAGGCAGCAGUGGGGAAUAUUGCACAAUGGGCGCAAGCCUGAUGCAGCCAUGCCGCGUGUAUGAAGAAGGCCUGCGGGUUGUAAAGUACUUUCAGCGGGGAGGAAGGGAGUAAAGUUAAUACCUUUGCUCAUGGACGUUACCCGCAGAAGAAGCACCGGCUAACUCCGU